CCAGCUCCAAGAGCAUAUAUUAAAGUUGUUGCAGUUAAAAAGCUCGUAGUUGGAUUUCUGGUUUAAUGCACCUGGCCCGCAGCCACUAGGCUUGUGAGUGCCGGCGCGCGUUUACCAUCCUUCUAGUUAACGGUUCUGCCAUUCACUUGGUGGGAUCGCGAUCUAGAUCUUUUACUUUGAAAAAAUUAGAGUGUUUAAAGCAGGCUUUUGCUAUGAAUACAUUAGCAUGGAAUAAUAAUCUAGGACUUCGGUUCUAUUUUGUUGGUUUCUAUAACUGAAGUAAUGAUUGAUAGGGAUAGUUGGGGGUGCUAGUAUUGGCCGGCCAGAGGUGAAAUUCUUGGAUUCGGUCAAGACUAACUUAUGCGAAAGCAUUCACCAAGGAUGUCUUCU
rnacentral:rRNA from 1 species